GAACGAACGCUGGCGGCAGGCUUAACACAUGCAAGUCGAACGCCCCGCAAGGGGAGUGGCAGACGGGUGAGUAACGCGUGGGAAUCUACCCAUCUCUGCGGAAUAGCUCUGGGAAACUGGAAUUAAUACCGCAUACGCCCUACGGGGGAAAGAUUUAUCGGGGAUGGAUGAGCCCGCGUUGGAUUAGCUAGUUGGUGGGGUAAAGGCCUACCAAGGCGACGAUCCAUAGCUGGUCUGAGAGGAUGAUCAGCCACAUUGGGACUGAGACACGGCCCAAACUCCUACGGGAGGCAGCAGUGGGGAAUAUUGGACAAUGGGCGCAAGCCUGAUCCAGCCAUGCCGCGUGAGUGAUGAAGGCCUUAGGGUUGUAAAGCUCUUUCACCGGUGAAGAUAAUGA
rnacentral:rRNA from 1 species